ACGCGCCAAAACUGAAUUUGUUCCCCAACUGUCACUUUGGAACCCUCAGAGAGAGAGACCGUUCUUCAGUUUACCUCAGCUGAACUCAACUAUCCGCCUGUGUCGCGUCUCGUCCAACACUGCACUGUCGUGACUUGAUCAUUCAAUGAUGAAUUGUACGGUAGGUUCAGCCAUUCCUUGAUCGACCUGACACCAGCAUUAGGCCUACUCGAUGUGUAUGAAGCAAGCUGCCUCUGCAUCAAGUGAGGGAAGAAGCCGCCACUGAAAAGCUUUUUGGACUGUCAUUUGAAGGACACAAAUGAAAGGACAGGAAUUCUGCUCUGCGGCGUUGGUCUCACUAUUUAUUCAAGAAGCCCUUGGACACCACCAGAAUGUAUGAAAAUUGUAAACAGUAGGCACAGUCAUUCCUUGAUCGACCUGGCAUCAACAUCGCUCGAUGUGUAUGAAGCUGCAAGUGAGAGAAGAAGCCGCCUCUG